GAUGAACGCUGGCGGCGUGCCUAAUACAUGCAAGUCGAGCGAAUGGAUUAAGAGCUUGCUCUUAUGAAGUUAGCGGCGGACGGGUGAGUAACACGUGGGUAACCUGCCCAUAAGACUGGGAUAACUCCGGGAAACCGGGGCUAAUACCGGAUAACAUUUUGAACCGCAUGGUUCGAAAUUGAAAGGCGGCUUCGGCUGUCACUUAUGGAUGGACCCGCGUCGCAUUAGCUAGUUGGUGAGGUAACGGCUCACCAAGGCAACGAUGCGUAGCCGCCCGGAGAGGGGGAUCGGCCACACUGGGACUGGGACACGGCCCAGACUCCUACGGGAGGCAGCAGUAGGGAAUCUUCCGCAAUGGACGAAAGUCUGACGGAGCAACGCCGCGUGAGUGAUGAAGGCUCUCGGGUCGUAAAACUCUGUUGUUAGGGAGGAACAAGUGCUAGUUGAAUAAGCUGGCACCUUGACGGUACCUAACCAGAAAGCCACGGCUAACUACGUGCCAGCAGCCGCGGUAA
rnacentral:rRNA from 1 species